rnacentral:rRNA from 1 species
UACGUAUGGUGCAAGCGUUAUCCGGAUUUACUGGGUGUAAAGGGAGCGCAGGCGGUGCGGCAAGUCUGAUGUGAAAGCCCGGGGCUCAACCCCGGGACUGCAUUGGAAACUACCGAACUAGAGUGUCGGAGAGGUAAGUGGAAUUCCUAGUGUAGCGGUGAAAUGCGUAGAUAUUAGGAGGAACACCAGUGGCGAAGGCGGCUUACUGGACGAUAACUGACGCUGAGGCUCGAAAGCGUGGGGAGCAAACAGG